AUGCUCCCAAUCGGAAGUGAUUGUGCCCUUGGCUGCGGGGCGGAGCAUGUCACCUAUCGGAAUCCAACAGGAGCGUCCCUCUCGCCACCUCUCCAAGACUGUUCGUGGGACACCUGCUUCCCUAAAAAAAAAAAUGCCAAACUUCGCUGUAAUCCUGUAAAGCUUUCAGAAAUUACUGAAAAACCUCCACGAACACAAAAAGAGUUGGCUUAUUUGUCAGAGUUGCCACCCACACCUCUUCAUAUUUCAGAAGACUCAAGUUCACCAGAAAGACCUUCACCACCAGAUCCUUCAGUGAUUGUCACACUUUUAGACCAAGCAACUAAGAGUAAUGUUGAUGAUUUAGACGUGUCUGAAUCAAAAGGUUGUAUGGAAGAAAAACCACAAGAAGUACAGACUUCUAGGAAUGUUGAAAGUAUUUCUGAACAGAUGGAAAAUCCGGAUUUGAAGAAUGUUGGUUCCAGUACUGGGGAGAAAAAUGAAAGAACUUCAGUGGCUGGAACAGUGAGAAAGUGCUGGCCUAGUAGAGUGGCAAAGGAGCAGAUUAGUAAGCGGCUUGAUGGUAAUCAAUAUCUGUUUUUGCCACCAAAUCGUUAUAUUUUCCGUGGCGCUAAGUUAUAUUCAGACUCUGAAGAUGACGUCUUAUCCUCUAGUUCUUGUGGCAGUAACAGUGAUAGUGGGACAUGCCAGAGUCCAAGUUUAGAAGAACCCAUGGAGGAUGAAAGUGAAAUUGAAGAAUUCUACAGUGGCUUAGAAGAUGAGCCUGACGUUCCAGAGAGAGCUGGAGAAGCUGGAUUUGGGACUGAUGGAGAUGAUCGAGAGGCAAUUAAUGAAGCUGUAUCUAUGAAACAGGAAGUAACAGACAUGAACUAUCCAUCAAACAAAUCAUAGUGUAAUAAUUGUGCAGGUACAGGAAUUGUUCCACUGGCAUUAGGAACUUUAGCAUGUGAAAAUGAAUGUUUACUUGUGAACUCAAUAGAGCAAGGAAACCAGAAGGUGUAAUAUUUAUAGAUUGAUAAAAUAGAUUGUUUUUCAUGGAUAAUUUUUAACUUCAUUAUUUCUGUACUUGUACAAACUCAACACUAACUUUUUUUUUUUUUAAAGAAAGGUACUAAGUAUCUUUAAUCAGCUAUCGGUCAAGAUUAACUUUCUUUUAAAGGUUCAUUUGUAUGAUAAAUUCAUAUGUAUAUAUAAUUUUUUUUUGUUUUUGCCUAGUGAGUUUCAACAUUUUUCAAGUUUUCAAAAAGCCAUCAGAAUGUUAAAUUAAUGUAAAGGGAACGGCUCAUCUAGACCAAAGAAUUGUAUUUUCACUUUUCUUUGUAACAUUGAAUGGUUUGAAGUACUCAAAAUCUGUUACGCUAAACUUGGAUUCUUUAACACAGUUAUUUAUUUUUAAACACUGGCAUUUUCCAAAACUUGUGGCAGCUAACUUUUUAAAAUCUCAAGUGACAUGCAAUGUGAGUAGAAGGAAGUCAACAAAAUGUAGGCGAGCACUCGGUUGUCUUUACUUUUGAAAGUAAUACUUGGUGCUAAGAAUUUCAGGAUUAUUGUAUUUAUUGUUCAAAUGAAGAUGGCUUUUGUACUUCUUGUGGUCAUGUAGUAAUGUCUAUAUUGGAUCAUAGAACUAACCUGAAAAACAAAUAAAUGCUUUGGAAAUGUUUCAGUUGCUUUAGAAACAAUAGUGCCUGCCUGGAUCCCCUUAGUUUUGAAAUAUUUGCCAUUGUUGUUUAAAUACGUAUCACUGUGGUAGAGCUUGCAUUGAUCUUUUCCACAAGUAUUAAACUGCCAAAAUGUGAAUAUGCAAAGCCUUUCUGAAUCUAUAAUAAUAGUACUUCUAGUAGGGAGAGUGUAAUAUUUUGGACUGCUCUUUUCCAUUAAUGAGGAGAGCAACAGGCCCCUGAUAACAGUUCCAAAGUAAUAAUAUGUUAAUUAUAACUCAGCCAGAAAAUACAUGUCUCCCAUUGGGAGGAUUUGGUGUUCAAUACCAAAAUGCUAGCCUAGUAUUAUGGAGAUGAACAUGAUGUAAUAGCAGAGUAGUUAAUGAAUGAAGCUAGUUCUUAUAAUUUAUCUUUAUUUAAAAGCUUAGCCUGCCUUAAAACUAGAGAUCAACUUUCUCAGCUGCAAAAGCUUCUAGUAAGUUCAUACUUUAUGAAAUUGCACAGUAACCAUUUAUUUUUCAGACCAUUUUUGAACAUUAUUCCUAAAUUAAUAAAGUAUUCCUACGUUGCUUUAGUAUUUAUUACAAUAAAAAGGCUUUGAAAUAUAACUGUUCUUUAUGCGUAAAAUACCCGGCUAAGACCAUUACUGCCAGAGGAAAAAAAAUCAUAUUGAAUGGCCAUUUCCCUACCUAAAAGAUGUCUCAAUCUGAAUUUAUUUGGCUACACUAAAGAAUGCAGUUUAUUUAGUUUUCCAUUUGCAUGGUGUGUUUGUGCUAUAGAUGAUAUUUUAUAUUGAAAAGUUUGUUUUAAAUUAUUUUUACAGUGAAGACUGUUUUCAGCUCUUUUCAUAUUGUACAUAGUCUUUUAUGUAAUCUACUGGCAUAUGUUUUGUAGGCUGUUUAAUGACUGGAUAUCUUUCUUCAACUUUUGAAAUACAAAACCAGUGUUUUUUACUUGUACACUGUUUUAAAGUCUAUUAAAAUUGUCAUUUGACUUUUUUCUGUUAA